rnacentral:rRNA from 1 species
GAAGCUUGCUUCAAUUGCCGGCGACCGGCGCACGGGUGAGUAACGCGUAUCCCACCUUCCGCUUACUCGGGGAUAGCCUUUCGAAAGAAAGAUUAAUACCCGAUGGUAUCUUAAGCACGCAUGAGAUUAAGAUUAAAGAUUUAUCGGUAAGCGAUGGGGAUGCGUUCCAUUAGGCAGUUGGCGGGGUAACGGCCCACCAAACCUACGAUGGAUAGGGGUUCUGAGAGGAAGGUCCCCCACAUUGGAACUGAGACACGGUCCAAACUCCUACGGGAGGCAGCAGUGAGGAAUAUUGGUCAAUGGGCGAGAGCCUGAACCAGCCAAGUAGCGUGAAGGAUGACGGCCCUACGGGUUGUAAACUUCUUUUGUGCGGGAAUAAAGGAGCCUACGUGUAGGCUUUUGCAUGUACCGUAACGAAUAAGCAUCGGCUAACUCCGUGCCAGCAGCCGCGGUAAUACGGAGGAUGCGAGCGUUAUCCGGAUUUAUUGGGUUUAAAGGGAGCGUAGACGGGUUUUUAAGUCAGCUGUGAAAGUUUGGGGCUCAACCUUAAAAUUGCAGUUGAAACUGGAGACCUUGAGUACGGUUGAGGCAGGCGGAAUUCGUGGUGUAGCGGUGAAAUGCUUAGAUAUCACGAAGAACUCCGAUUG